GUCUAUGGCCAUGCCACCCUGAACGUGCCCAACCUUAUCUCAUCUCAGAAGCUAAGCAGGGUAAGGCCUAGUUAGUACUUGCAUGGGAGACCACCUAGGAAUACCAGGUGCUGUAGGCA
rnacentral:rRNA from 1 species